rnacentral:rRNA from 1 species
GACGAACGCUGGCGGCGUGCCUAAUACAUGCAAGUAGAACGCACAGUUUAUACCGUAGCUUGCUCCACCAUAGACUGUGAGUUGCGAACGGGUGAGUAACGCGUAGGUAACCUGCCUGGUAGCGGGGGAUAACUAUUGGAAACGAUAGCUAAUACCGCAUAAUAUUGAUUAUUGCAUGAUAAUUGAUUGAAAGAUGCUAUUGCAUCACUACCAGAUGGACCUGCGUUGUAUUAGCUAGUAGGUGAGGUAACGGCUCACCUAGGCGACGAUACAUAGCCGACCUGAGAGGGUGAUCGGCCACACUGGGACUGAGACACGGCCCAGACGCCUACGGGAGGCAGCAGGAGGGAAUCUUCGGCAAUGGACGGAAGUCUGACCGAGCAACGCCGCGUGAGUGAAGAAGGGUGUCGGAUCGGAAAGCUCUGUUGUAAGAGAAGAACGGGUGUGAGAGUGGAAAGUUCACACUGUGACGGUAUCUUAACAGAAAGGGACGGCUAACUACGUG